rnacentral:rRNA from 1 species
CAAUAGCGUAUAUUAAAGUUGUUGCAGUUAAAAAGCUCGUAGUUGGACCUUGGACCUGGACAGGCGGUCCGCCUCACGGCGAGUACUGUCUUGCUGGGUCUUUCCUCUUGGUGAUCUGUUGUUUCGGCAGCAGGGAACCAGGACCUUUACUUUGAAAAAAUUAGAGUGUUCAAAGCAGGCUCGACGCCGGAAUAUAUUAGCAUGGAAUAAUAAAAUAGGACGUGCGGUUCUAUUUUGUUGGUUUUUGGAAUCGCCGUAAUGAUUAAUAGGGACAGUCGGGGCAUUAGUACUCACAUGCUAGAGGUGAAAUUCUUGGAUUUUGUGAAGACUAACUUCUGCGAAAGCAUUUGCCAAGGAUGUUUUCAUUAA